AUUAUUUUUUAAUAUUUUCUAAUUAAUUAUUUAGAAAAUACUUUUUUUUAAACGACAGUUUCAAACGGUACUAUACCAAACUGACCCGUUGUUUCGUACUCCUUGCUCAUCGUCAGAAAUAGCGAGCCUCAUAAUUAUCAUAAUUAAAUUAUUUUAAAAUUUUGAAUAAAAUGAAAUUAUUAAAUGGUUAUUUUGAAUUAUCAUAAUUAUGCUUAGAUUAGGAAAACUAUA
rnacentral:misc_RNA from 1 species